rnacentral:rRNA from 1 species
UUCCGGUUGAUCCUGCCGGACCUGACUGCUAUCGGAUUGAUACUAAGCCAUGCGAGUCUUUGCAGUAAUGCAAGGCAGACGGCUCAGUAACACGUAGUCAACUUACCCUAUGGACGAGGAUAAUCUCGGGAAACUGAGCAUAAUACUCGAUAGAUCAUAAUGCCUGGAAUGGUUUAUGGUUGAAAUGAUUCGUCGCCAUAGGAUGGGACUGCGGCCUAUCAGCUUGUUGGUGAGGUAAUGGCCCACCAAGGCGAUUACAGGUACGGGCUCUGAGAGGAGAAGCCCGGAGAUGGGUACUGAGACAAGGACCCAGGCCCUAUGGGGCGCAGCAGGCGAGAAAACUUUGCAAUGUGCGAAAGCACGACAAGGUUAAUCCGAGUGAUUUCUGCUAAAGAAAUCUUUUGCAAGUCAUAAAACCACUAGUGAAUAAGGGGUGGGCAAGUUCUGGUGUCAGCCGCCGCGGUAAAACCAGCACCUCAAGUGGUCAGGAGGAUUAUUGGGCCUAAAGCAUCCGUAGCCGGCUCUGUAAGUUUUCGGUUAAAUCCAUGUGCUCAACAUAUGGGCUGCCGAAAAUACUGCAUAGCUAGGGAGUGGGAGAGGUAGACGGUACUCAGUAGGAAGGGGUAAAAUCCUUUGAUCUAUUGAUGACCACCUGUGGCGAAGGCGGUCUACCAGAACACGUUCGACGGUGAGGGAUGAAAGCUGGGGGAGCAAACCGGAUUAGAUACCCGGGUAGUCCCAGCUGUAAACGAUGCAGACUCGAUGAUGCAUUGGCAUAUAGCCAGUGCAGUGUCGCAGGGAAGCCGUUAAGUCUGCCGCCUGGGAAGUACGUACGCAAGUAUGAAACUUAAAGGAAUUGGCGGGGGAGCACCACAAGGGGUGAAGCCUGCGGUUCAAUUGGAUUCAACGCCGGG